CUACGGGAUGCAGCAGUGAGGAAUAUUGCACAAUGGGGGGAACCCUGAUGCAGCAACGCCGCGUGGAGGAUGACGCAUUUCGGUGUGUAAACUCCUUUUAUAUGUCAAGAAAAUGACGGUAGCAUAUGAAUAAGCACCGGCUAACUCCGUGCCAGCAGCCGCGGUAAUACGGAGGGUGCAAGCGUUACUCGGAAUCACUGGGCGUAAAGGACGCGUAGGCGGGUUGGAAAGUCAGGUGUGAAAUCCUACAGCUUAACUGUAGAACUGCACUUGAAACUUCUAAUCUAGAGUAUGGGAGGGGGAGAUGGAAUUAGUGGUGUAGAGGUAAAAUCCGUAGAUACCACUAGGAAUACCUAAAGCGAAGGCGAUCUCCUGGAACAUUACUGACGCUAAGGCGUGAAAGCGUGGGGAGCAAACAGGAUUAGAUACCCCCGUAGUC
rnacentral:rRNA from 1 species